GACGAACGCUGGCGGCGUGCUUAACACAUGCAAGUCGAACGGAAAGGCCCUGCUUUUGUGUGGUGCUCGAGUGGCGAACGGGUGAGUAACACGUGAGUAACCUGCCCUUGACUUUGGGAUAACUUCAGGAAACUGGGUCUAAUACCGGAUAGGAGCUCCUGCUGCAUGGUGGGGGUUGGAAAGUUUCUGCGGUUGGGGAUGGACUCGCGGCUUAUCAGCUUGUUGGUGGGGUAGUGGCUUACCAAGGCUUCGACGGGUAGCCGGCCUGAGAGGGUGACCGGCCACAUUGGGACUGAGAUACGGCCCAGACUCCUACGGGAGGCAGCAGUGGGGAAUAUUGCACAAUGGGCGGAAGCCUGAUGCAGCAACGCCGCGUGCGGGAUGACGGCCUUCGGGUUGUAAACCGCUUUCGCCUGUGACGAAGCGAGAGUGACGGUAAUGGGUAAAGAAGCACCGGCUAACUACGUG
rnacentral:rRNA from 1 species